rnacentral:SRP_RNA from 2 species
GCCAGGUGCGGUGGUGUGUGCCUGUAGUCCCAGCUACUUGGGAGGCUGAGCCAGGAGGAUCACUGGAGCCUAGGAGUUCAAGGCUGCAGUGAACUGUGAUCGCACCACUGCACUCCAGCCUGGGUGACACAGUGAGACCCUGUCUCUA